GACGAACGCCGGCGGCGUGCUUAACACAUGCAAGUCGAACGGUAAGGCCCUUCGGGGUACACGAGUGGCGAACGGGUGAGUAACACGUGGGUGAUCUGCCCUGCACUUCGGGAUAAGCCUGGGAAACUGGGUCUAAUACCGGAUAGGACCCUGGGAUGCAUGUCCUGGGGUGGAAAGCUUUUGCGGUGUGGGAUGGGCCCGCGGCCUAUCAGCUUGUUGGUGGGGUGAUGGCCUACCAAGGCGACGACGGGUAGCCGGCCUGAGAGGGUGACCGGCCACACUGGGGCUGGGAUACGGCCCAGACUCCUACGGGGGGCAGCAGUGGGGAAUAUUGCACAAUGGGCGCAAGCCUGAUGCAGCGACGCCGCGUGAGGGAUGACGGCCUUCGGGUUGUAAACCUCGUUCAGCACCGACGAAGCGCAAGUGACGGUAGGUGCAGAAGAAGGACCGGCCAACUACGUGCCAGCCGCCGCCGUAA
rnacentral:rRNA from 1 species